rnacentral:rRNA from 1 species
UUAAGCGACUAAGCGUACACGGUGGAUGCCCUGGCAGUCAGAGGCGAUGAAGGACGUGCUAAUCUGCGAAAAGCGUCGGUAAGGUGAUAUGAACCGUUAUAGCCGGCGAUGUCCGAAUGGGGAAACCCAGUGCAAUUCGUUGCACUAUCGUUAACUGAAUACAUAGGUUAACGAGGCGAACCGGGGGAACUGAAACAUCUAAGUACCCCGAGGAAAAGAAAUCAACCGAGAUUCCCCCAGUAGCGGCGAGCGAACGGGGAGCAGCCCAGAGUCUGAAUCAGCUUGUGUGUUAGUGGAACGGUCUGGAAAGUCCGACGGUACAGGGUGAUAGUCCCGUACACCAAAAUGCACAGGUUGUGAACUCGAAGAGUAGGGCGGGACACGUGGUAUCCUGUCUGAAUAUGGGGGGACCAUCCUCCAAGGCUAAAUACUCCUGACUGACCGAUAGUGAACCAGUACCGUGAGGGAAAGGCGAAAAGAACCCCGGCGAGGGGAGUGAAAAAGAACCUGAAACCGUGUACGUACAAGCAGUGGGAGCACCUUCGGGUGUGACUGCGUACCUUUUGUAUAAUGGGUCAGCGACUUAUAUUCUGUAGCAAGGUUAACCGUAUAGGGGAGCCGCAGGGAAACCGAGUCUUAACUGGGCGUUAAGUUGCAGGGUAUAGACCCGAAACCCGGUGAUCUAGCCAUGGGCAGGUUGAAGGUUGGGUAACACUAACUGGAGGACCGAACCGACUAAUGUUGAAAAAUUAGCGGAUGACUUGUGGCUGGGGGUGAAAGGCCAAUCAAACCGGGAGAUAGCUGGUUCUCCCCGAAAGCUAUUUAGGUAGCGCCUCGUGAAUUCAUCUUCGGGGGUAGAGCACUGUUUCGGCUAGGGGGUCAUCCCGACUUACCAACCCGAUGCAAACUACGAAUACCGAAGAAUGUUAUCACGGGAGACACACGGCGGGUGCUAACGUCCGUCGUGAAGAGGGAAACAACCCAGACCGCCAGCUAAGGUCCCAAAGUCAUGGUUAAGUGGGAAACGAUGUGGGAAGGCACAGACAGCCAGGAUGUUGGCUUAGAAGCAGCCAUCAUUUAAAGAAAGCGUAAUAGCUCACUGGUCGAGUCGGCCUGCGCGGAAGAUGUAACGGGGCUAAACCAUGCACCGAAGCUGCGGCAGCGACACGAUGUGUUGUUGGGUAGGGGAGCGUUCUGUAAGCCUGCGAAGGUGUGCUGUGAGGCAUGCUGGAGGUAUCAGAAGUGCGAAUGCUGACAUAAGUAACGAUAAAGCGGGUGAAAAGCCCGCUCGCCGGAAGACCAAGGGUUCCUGUCCAACGUUAAUCGGGGCAGGGUGAGUCGACCCCUAAGGCGAGGCCGAAAGGCGUAGUCGAUGGGAAACAGGUUAAUAUUCCUGUACUUGGUGUUACUGCGAAGGGGGGACGGAGAAGGCUAUGUUAGCCGGGCGACGGUUGUCCCGGUUUAAGCAUGUAGGCUGGUUAUCCAGGCAAAUCCGGAUAAUCAAGGCUGAGGUGUGAUGACGAGGCACUACGGUGCUGAAGUAACAAAUGCCCUGCUUCCAGGAAAAGCCUCUAAGCAUCAGGUAACAUCAAAUCGUACCCCAAACCGACACAGGUGGUCAGGUAGAGAAUACCAAGGCGCUUGAGAGAACUCGGGUGAAGGAACUAGGCAAAAUGGUGCCGUAACUUCGGGAGAAGGCACGCUGGUGUGUAGGUGAAGUCCCUGCGGAUGGAGCUGAGACCAGUCGAAGAUACCAGCUGGCUGCAACUGUUUAUUAAAAACACAGCACUGUGCAAACACGAAAGUGGACGUAUACGGUGUGACGCCUGCCCGGUGCCGGAAGGUUAAUUGAUGGGGUUAUCCGUAAGGAGAAGCUCUUGAUCGAAGCCCCGGUAAACGGCGGCCGUAACUAUAACGGUCCUAAGGUAGCGAAAUUCCUUGUCGGGUAAGUUCCGACCUGCACGAAUGGCGUAAUGAUGGCCAGGCUGUCUCCACCCGAGACUCAGUGAAAUUGAACUCGCUGUGAAGAUGCAGUGUACCCGCGGCAAGACGGAAAGACCCCGUGAACCUUUACUAUAGCUUGACACUGAACAUUGAGCCUUGAUGUGUAGGAUAGGUGGGAGGCUUUGAAGCGUGGACGCCAGUCUGCGUGGAGCCAACCUUGAAAUACCACCCUUUAAUGUUUGAUGUUCUAACGUUGGCCCCUGACCGGGGUUGCGGACAGUGUCUGGUGGGUAGUUUGACUGGGGCGGUCUCCUCCCAAAGUGUAACGGAGGAGCACGAAGGUUAGCUAAUCCUGGUCGGACAUCAGGAGGUUAGUGCAAUGGCAUAAGCUAGCUUGACUGCGAGCGUGACGGCGCGAGCAGGUGCGAAAGCAGGUCAUAGUGAUCCGGUGGUUCUGAAUGGAAGGGCCAUCGCUCAACGGAUAAAAGGUACUCCGGGGAUAACAGGCUGAUACCGCCCAAGAGUUCAUAUCGACGGCGGUGUUUGGCACCUCGAUGUCGGCUCAUCACAUCCUGGGGCUGAAGUAGGUCCCAAGGGUAUGGCUGUUCGCCAUUUAAAGUGGUACGCGAGCUGGGUUUAGAACGUCGUGAGACAGUUCGGUCCCUAUCUGCCGUGGGCGCUGGAGAAUUGAGGGGGGCUGCUCCUAGUACGAGAGGACCGGAGUGGACGCAUCACUGGUGUUCGGGUUGUCAUGCCAAUGGCACUGCCCGGUAGCUAAAUGCGGAAGAGAUAAGUGCUGAAAGCAUCUAAGCACGAAACUUGCCCCGAGAUGAGUUCUCCCUGAGACUUUAAGUCUCCUGAAGGAACGUUGAAGACGACGACGUUGAUAGGCCGGGUGUGUAAGCGCAGCGAUGCGUUGAGCUAACCGGUACUAAUGAACCGUGAGGCUUAACCUU